GAGGUAAAAAGAAAGUUUCAGGUACCGAUUAUGACCGUCAAACUUCAUCUGACUUCUGAGUGUCAGAAAGAGCGGUGAGAAGAUGGAUAGUGUUCGGUGAAGACUAAAGGUAAGACUAAAGUGCUGAGGGGUACCCGAUUGCAUCCGAGGAGAGCAUGUCGCUGUACACACCUCCUCCGACACAUGCACAGCCUUCUUCUUCUCGCCCCUGCAUUCUGCACAGACGUCUCUUCCACCAAUCAGGGUCCUUACACAGCGUAUGAAGACAUACCCACCCACCCACACAUAGCCUGGCACCCACUCUGCAGAUACGGUGGCCAAUUAGUAUCUGCUACAGGCACUGCCAUUUAUACCCGCCAGAUAACGCCCAGCUGACCGGUGGCAAUGCCAAGUUUUGAACCGAGGAGUUCAGAAUCUCAGUGCUGGAGUUUUAAGCCAAACCAAAUGCCUGCAAGAUCAGAACUUUAUUUUUCAUAAUAAAACCAAAAGAACCGAUGUGAAAAGAGCCGAGGUGCUGAACUUCUAUAACUUAUUUAAUAACUAUAGUCAAUUACUGCCUUGUGAUCAGUGUUUCUUGGUGAAAAUAAGACAUUUUACUUUAGAUUAUGUAACAAUAA